rnacentral:snRNA from 1 species
CUACUUACCUGGCAGGGGAGACACCAUGAUCAGGCAGGUGGUUCUCCCAGGGCAAGGCUCAUCCCUUGCACUCCGGGUGUGCUGACCCCUGCGAUUCCCCAAAUGUGGGAAACUCAACUGCAUAAUUUGUGUAAUAUUUGUGGGGUGGUUUUUUUUAUCUACUGA